AUGGAGCCAUCCACUGGGUUCCGGGCCUCUGUCUGGAGCUGCUUCAAGUUCUUGCCCUUCUUUUGUGGCCUUCUUCUCCUGGGGAUCAUCAAAGGUGUUCUGUUUGGCCCAUGGGCAUGGCUUAUUAUGGCGAUCGGAAUAUCUGCACUCGUUCUGGGAUUAUGGCCUAUGCAUUUGAUUUGGACAUACUACUGCAUCAUCAGAACCAAGCUGGUGGGACCUGUUGUGAAGCUGCUUCUUCUUAUUUCUGUAUCUGGGAUUUUAGUCUUGUGGCUGAUAGUUGGCAUCCUUGGAAGUGUACUUGCUGGGUUAGCAUACGGCUUUCUAGCACCAGUAAUGGCCACAUUUGAUGCACUCGGUGAAGGAAAAGAAAGACCACUGGUUCAUUGUUUUGUGGAUGGAACAUGGAGCACUAUCACAGGAGGCUGUACAGUAGUCAGGGACCUGAAAGACAUGCUAUUCCAUUCAUACCUUGCAUAUAUGGAUGAUCUACGGUACCACGAACCUCCUGGUGGAAAACCAUUUGAAAUAAGAGUGCUUGAUAUUCCUGGCGCAGUACUCGCUGCUGCAUGUGGACUCUUAAUGGAUGGGAUAAUGUUCACAGCAAUUGCCUUGUACAAGUUCCCUGUGAUGCUUUUCAAAGGAUGGAAGCGACUGAUUGAAGAUCUAGUUGGCAGAGAAGGACCUUUUCUUGAGACAGUGUGUGUGCCAUUCGCUGGUCUGGCUAUUCUUCUCUGGCCAUUUGCUGUUUUAGGAGCCUUCCUAGCCUCCAUGAUCUCCAGUGUUCCUCUAGGCGCGUAUGCUGCCAUUGUGGUUUAUCAGGAAUCCUCGCUUUUCAUGGGACUAUCUUAUGCAAUAUCAUCAGUAUCCAUCUUCGAUGAGUAUACAAAUGAUGUACUUGACAUGGCACCAGGAUCUUGCUUUCCUAGGUUUGUAUACCGGAAGAAUCAAGCUUCCGUGGAAAGUGUCCGUGGCCCGCUAUCAAGGCCUGCCUCAUUCAGGGAUAAGCAAGAUGGAAAGAAAGCUCCAGCACGGAUUACAUCAUUUAAGAGUAGCUUUGAUGAGUUCAAUCCAUUUAAGUUGCUAGAUCACCUAUUCGAAGAGUGUCAGCACCGUGGCGAGGCUCUGGUCGCUGAAGGAGUGAUAACACCAAAAGAUAUUGAAGAAACAAAGUCAGGCAAAGGCGGCAGCGGAGUGCUUAAUGUCGGUUUGCCAGCAUAUGUUAUUCUCAAUGCACUCCUACGAUCUGCAAAGGCUGAUUCCGAUGGCCUGAUUCUGAGAGAUGGCUGUGAAAUCACAUCUGACAACAGGCCUAAGAAUACACUAUUUGAUUGGUUCUUUGACCCUCUGAUGGUCAUCAAAGAUCAAAUCAAAGCCGAGAAUUUUACAGAAGAGGAGGAGGCGUACCUUCAGAAACGCGUACUGUUGAUCAGCGACCCGAAGCGCCUCAAGGCCACUCUUCCGCAUUUGCCAUCCCUGAAUGAGCGAAAACAAGCAGAAAUAGAUGCAUUUGCUCGGAGAUUGCAAGGGAUCACUAAGUCGAUAUCAAGGUACCCGACAUCCAAGCGCCGUUUCGAUGACCUUGUCAAAGCGCUUUCUGAGGAGCUUGAGAGGGCAAUGGGUGGCAGCCGAUCUGUCAGUGGAUCACAGUUUCAGAAGCUCAGAAGCGGCCUUGUUCGAAUGCUUAGCCAGAGAUCGAUGGGGAAGACAGCAAGCAUCCGAGGAGGUGAUCAAGAGGCGCAGCUCACAAGCGACACUCGUGCUGCAUAA
rnacentral:rRNA from 1 species